rnacentral:rRNA from 1 species
AUGGCGGAGCUCUUCGGCCCAAUGCAAGCGAAGAACAGUCCUGUAGUGCGGGUAGACGACAUGGAGCCGAGUGUCUUCGAGGCCAUGCUCGAGUUCAUCUACAGCGACUCGCUGCCGGAGAUCGACGUCGGCGAGACGCUGGAGAUGGCCCAACACCUCCUCGUGGCGGCCGAUAGGUAUGAUCUGCAAAGUUUGAAGUCGAUCUGCAAGGACAUGUUGUGUGGCAACAUUGACACGCGCACGACAGCAACCGCCCUAACACUGGCCGAGCAGCAUGGUUGUGGCGGGCUGAAGGACGCAUGCAUAUUGUACCUCUCGGCACACCUGGAGGCCGUCAUGGUGAGCGACGGCUUUCCACACCUGACAGAGAGCUGCCCCGCCCUCCACAUGGACAUCGUCGACCAGACCAAGUCCGUGUCUCACGUUCUCAAGAUUAUCGGCUACUCUAAAACCAAAACGCUCGGCGGCUACCACAAUUGCCUCACAUCCACAGUGUUCGUCAUACGAGGCCGGCGCUGGUGCGUGGAGUACUACCCUGAUGGCCACAAUUCGGAACACACGGGCUGGAUAUCCAUCUUUGUCGGGCUUGAUCGCUCCGACGCCACUGCAGCCACCGCUCAGGGUGGACACGGUCCGGGCCGGUCCGGUCCCGGUCCGAGCCGUCGUUUGGACCGGCCGCCGGCGGGCCGGACCGGACCGGACCGAGGAGGCGAGCGGUCCUGUUUUGGGGGACCGGACCGGCAUCGACGAAGCCCGAGCCAGACCGACUGGACCGAAUGGACCGGCCAACAACUACCGGCGUCGAUGUGUGUGAGUGCAGCGGCGAGGUGGGCUACUUGCAUGACUGAUGGGACGAAGUGGAGGACGUGCGCGAGCGCCUACGUGCGCGAGAAAUUAGCUAACAACUGA